CCGGUCUAACGCUCGACCCCAUGCUGGUGCGGUUAGCGUAUGAACAGGUGUGACGCAGGAAGGUAGCUGAGCCAGGCGAUGGUAUCCGUAAGGUGAACCUGGUGUAAGGAUGUAGGGCUGACGAUAGGCAAAUCCGUCGUCUGUGUGCCUGAGAUCCGACGCGUACCCGUAAGGGGAAAUCAGUGAUCCUAUGCUGCCGAGAAAAGCAUCGACGCGAGGUUGCAGCCGCCCGUACCCGAAACCGACUCAGGUGGUCAGGUAGAGAAUACCAAGGAGAUCGAGAGAAUCGUGGUUAAGGAACUCGGCAAAAUGCCCCCGUAACUUCGGGAGAAGGGGGGCCGGACACGUGACCGGAUUUACUCCGUGAGCGUUGAAGGCCGCAGAGACCAGUGGGAAGCGACUGUUUACUAAAAACACAGGUCCGUGCGAAGUCGCAAGACGAUGUAUACGGACUGACGCCUGCCCGGUGCUGGAAGGUUAAGAGGAAGGGUUAGCCUUUGGGCGAAGCUCUGAAUUUAAGCCCCAGUAAACGGCGGUGGUAACUAUAACCAUCCUAAGGUAGCGAAAUUCCUUGUCGGGUAAGUUCCGACCUGCACGAAUGGCGUAACGACUUCCCAGCUGUCUCAACCGCGAACUCGGCGAAAUUGCACUACGAGUAAAGAUGCUCGUUACGCGCAGCAGGACGGAAAGACCCCGUGACCUUUACUACAGUUUGGUAUUGGUGUUCGGAGUGGCUUGUGUAGGAUAGGUGGGAGACUGUGAAGCGGGCACGCUAGUGUUCGUGGAGUCAUUGUUGAAAUACCACUCUGGUCACUUUGGAUGUCUAACGUAGGACCCUGAUCGGGUUCAUGGACAGUGCCUGAUGGGUAGUUUAACUGGGGCGGUUGCCUCCCAAAGAGUAACGGAGGCGCCCAAAGGUUCCCUCAACCUGGUUGGCAAUCAGGUGGCGAGUGUAAGUGCACAAGGGAGCUUGACUGUGAGACUGACAGGUCGAGCAGGGACGAAAGUCGGGACUAGUGAUCCGGCAGUGGCUUGUGGAAGCGCUGUCGCUCAACGGAUAAAAGGUACCUCGGGGAUAACAGGCUGAUCUUGCCCAAGAGUCCAUAUCGACGGCAUGGUUUGGCACCUCGAUGUCGGCUCGUCGCAUCCUGGGGCUGGAGUAGGUCCCAAGGGUUGGGCUGUUCGCCCAUUAAAGCGGUACGCGAGCUGGGUUUAGAACGUCGUGAGACAGUUCGGUCCCUAUCCGCUGCGCGCGUUGGAAAUUUGAGAAGAUCUAUCCCUAGUACGAGAGGACCGGGAUGGACGAACCUCUGGUGUGUCAGUUGUUCUGCCAAGGGCACCGCUGAUUAGCUACGUUCGGACCGGAUAACCGCUGAAAGCAUCUAAGCGGGAAGCCGUCUUCGAGAUGAGAUUUCCAUGCACCUUGAGUGUGAGAGGCUCCCAGCAGACUACUGGGUUGAUAGGCCGGAUGUGGAAGCGGGGACUAACGACCCGUGGAGCUGACCGGUACUAAUAAGCCGAAGACUUGAUAAC
rnacentral:rRNA from 1 species